UAUUGUGAAUGGCCUUUUUGAAGAUGUCCCUGGACCCUCCUCAUUUAGAGGUAGAAGGUCAAGAAUUGACCUUUUAUCAAGCUUGGAAUCUGAUCGGUUGUCCCCUGAUCUACCCACUUACGAUAGGCCUGAAUCCUCAGGUACAGCUGAACAAGAUGAAAGAAUUGUUUCCAUUAAUCACGUGGCUCUUAUUGAUCCUAAUACAACUUCAGAGAAUCAGAAUGCGGAAGAGCUGGCAGAUUAGCAGUAAUGUGGAUUGCUAAUUUUUUGGUUACUGUUGAGCUAUCAACUUCGAGAAAUUUAGCACGUCUUCGAAUAAUUGGAGGAAGAACAAAUCAAAUUUCAUCUGUCAUCCAAGCCGAAUUAUAUGCUAUUUUGCAAGCCUUAUCAGAAAUCUCUCAGUGGGACAUUCACGAAGUCUGUAUAUACUCAGAUGCUCAACAGGUUGUUCAAGCACUACAACAGAAGGCUAUCCUACCCUGGUCCUGCCAAUGGCAUUUGUGUAGGAUAAGUUUUCUCGUCUCAAAAUAUAGACAUGUCUCCUUUGUGUAUGUAAAUAGAAAGUUUAACAGUUCAGCCCACAAGGUAUCCCAACUAGCGAAACUCCAUCAUCUAUCAUCUUUUAUUUUAAAUGACUAUUAGGAUGGGAUACCUAAAGUGGAAGGCUUUGUUUUGU